AGAGUAUAGCUCAGUGGUAGAGUGCAUGCUUAGCAUGCACAAGGUCCUGGGUUCAAUCCCCAGUACCUCCA
rnacentral:tRNA from 1 species